rnacentral:tRNA from 1 species
GCUCAGUUGGUAGAGCAGGCGGCUGUUAACCGCCUUGUCAUAGGUUCGAGUCCUAUCGGGGGA